UACCAGCACCCCGAGUGGUCGGGACGAUUAUUGGGCCUAAAGCAUCCGUAGCCGGUUCUACAAGUCUUCCGUUAAAUCCACCUGCUUAACAGAUGGGCUGCGGAGGAUACUAUAGAGCUAGGAGGCGGGAGAGGCAAGCGGUACUUAGUGGGUAGGGGUAAAAUCCGUUGAUCCAUUGAAGACCACCAGUGGCGAGGGCGGCUUGCCAGAAUGCGCUUGACGGUGAGGGAUGAAAGCUGGGGGAGCAAACCGG
rnacentral:rRNA from 1 species